GCCAUAUCUAAUUUUGACAGCUUAUUUUCUAACAAAAAAAUCUUGAUCCUUAAAUACAAAAAUACCUGUUUAUUCGGAAGGGCAAACUCUGCCUGCAAACUAGGAUACGAUUUGAUUCCUGCCUCAUUAUAUAACAUAUGCACUUUACUAAUACCAUUAGUUUCCCAAGUAUUCAAAUUGAAAUCUUGUAUAAAGUACUUUAUUACCUAUAAUGGUGCUAAGACUAAUAGCUUUACACCUUUUAGCAAUUUAGGAGUCCAUUUUGACCAAUGAUAGAGC